AACUUGAUUUGUCUACUAUAUUGACGAUUGAGCUCUUGAACAAUCAACGGCAAAAUAGUCAAUUUAUCUGACAAAAAAUCUUCCUUUCUAACUGUUUGAGUUAUCUCUGUCCAUAUUAUCAUAUUCUGGAUCCUUCUCCUUAAUCACUUCUCCUCUCUUCUUUUCUUUCACCUAACAAUUCUUAACGACGCUAAAUUCAAACUGCGAUUUACAUAUACCUGUACACUUAAAUUGUGUGUGUCGAUUUAGUAGUAGUACACGAUCGUGAUAAUUUUUAGAACCAUGGAUUUGGCAGAGCAAGGGAGAACUGAUGAACGAGAAAGAAGUCCUACUCACUACAAACGAAUACACCACAAGAUUGUCUCUAAAAUUCAUUUGGAUUGUUUGAGCUUGAAGCUGGUGAGAAGCCACAACUCCCAUGUCAAUGGAAGGGGAGAAGACAACGUAGUUGGUUCAUAUAUGCAUUAUUGAUCCAGUUGAAGAACAUGCCCGAAAGUGACUGCCUCUUGCCUAUCUUUCUGUCGGCACCUAGUUCUCUAUAAGUUUCAGGUAUUUUUUACCAUAUAGAAUAUGCAUGAUUAUUUACUUGAGCAGCAUUAAAGAAUAUAAAUGAUUGAAUUUGCUGCAAAACUUGGGGAGAUCAUAGAUACAGAUCACUUUGUGAUUUUUCCCAAAAACUAAUGAUUAAAUGAAUAAAGACUUACUUGUGACCGUCACAUCUCCUCUUAUUAACGUUACAUAUAUAUAUACAUCCACUUUACCGAUUUCAUGUGCGAUAUACUCUUUCCUUUUAAUUGUCACUACUAGCAAUUGCAAGCCCUUCUCUUUUUAAUUGUAUUUUCAAAUUCCUAAAUGAACUAGAGAUUCACUUUUAGCUACAGGUCCCUUCAAUAGACUACUUUAGCAAUAUCACUGCAAAAUUGAAGUACCGAAAGCAACACAUGAAGAGAUCACUAUUGCUGAUUCUUUUAAAAAAAAUGUUAUCCAGACGUCUACUUCAGCACAUCGAUGUCAUUUUUUACUACCUCCGAAAGAAGGCCAAGUUGCAAACACAAGAAUAAUACAAAUACACGAUAGAUAAUUAUUUGUACAAAGUUUACAUCAUUAAUGCCUAUGAUAGGUAUUGUCAACAACAGCUGAAAGUUUUUCGAAAUGAGGGAUGCUUAAUCAACAUCAUCAAAGGUUUUAGCAUUUCGGCUGGCUGACAAAGUGUACAUCCCAAUCAAUUAUGGUGAUGAAUUUCAUUGGGUGUUGGCUGUUGUCGUUCUAAAAGAGAGGUGCAUUCGAGUUUAUGACUUGAUGUUAUGAAGGAGACGUUCUGGGCCAUCGUCUGAGAUACAAAAGCUGGCCAAAAUAUUGCCUACUUACCUUGAUAUGAGUGGCUCUAUGGAUCAAAAGGUUCGUACUGAUUGGUCGACGAUUGAAGCAUAUCGGGAUAAAAUGGAUAAUCCAUUUGAUGUACAAUAUGUUGAAGGAAUUGCUCAACAAACCAUUAGUAGCCUGGAUUGUGGUCCUUUUGUUGCCACCUACGGCGAGUAUUUGAGCGAUGGAUUACAAGUAACAAAUGAUGGACUUGAUGUCGGAUUACUCCGCAAAAGAUAUGCUGCUCUUUUAUGGAAAUACGGAGAAGCGAAAGCUUAGAAGCCGUACGCAACCGACAUUAAAGAUCCACGACGACCAAAGCCAAAUUCUGUAGCACCGGAUGAAGCACAACUUGUCCAUAUUGAUUAGAUCUUUAUAGCUUGAGUCCGUCAAUGUAAUAACCUAUCCUCCUUGGUUUAGCUUGUUGAUUUAUUUGUAGAGUAGAUCGUUUGUACCCAUAAUGAUUUUUUUUACAUUUUAUUUAUUUGUUAAGUUAUUUCAUGUAAUUUUUGAAGGCUUCAAUUUAUUUUAUUCUGUCUAUGAAUAUAAUUUAAUCCUUAGUUUUGAACAUGUUAAUUGAAA